CCACCCCUUCCCAUCCCGAACAGGACCGUGAAACGACUCUACGCCGAUGAUAGUGCGGAUUCCCGUGUGAAAGUAGGUAAUCGUCAGGC
rnacentral:rRNA from 1 species